rnacentral:rRNA from 1 species
UACGGGGGGGGCAAGCGUUGUUCGGAAUUACUGGGCGUAAAUGGCUCGUAGGUGGCCAACUAAGUCAGACGUGAAAUCCCUCGGCUUAACCGGGGAACUGCGUCUGAUACUGGAUGGCUUGAGUUUGGGAGAGGGAUGCGGAAUUCCAGGUGUAGCGGUGAAAUGCGUAGAUAUCUGGAGGAACACCGGUGGCGAAGGCGGCAUCCUGGACCAACACUGACACUGAGGAGCGAAAGCCAGGGGAGCAAACGGG